AGAGUUUGAUCAUGGUUCAGGAUGAACGCUGGCGGCGUGCCUAACACAUGCAAGUCGAGCGAUUUACUUCGGUAAAGAGCGGCGGACGGGUGAGUAACGCGUGGGUAACCUGCCUCAUACACAUGGAUAACAUACCGAAAGGUAUGCUAAUACAAGAUGAUAUAAGAGAUUCGCAUGGAUUUCUUAUCAAAGCCUUUGCGGUAUGAGAUGGACCCGUGUCUGAUUAGCUAGUUGGUAAGGUAACGGCUUACCAAGGCGACGAUCAGUAGCCGACCUGAGAGGGUGAUCGGCCACAUUGGAACUGAGACACGGUCCAAACUCCCACGGGAGGCAGCAGUGGGGAAUAUUGCACAAUGGGCGAAAGCCUGAUGCAGCAACGCCGCGUGAGCGAUGAAGGCCUUCGGGUCGUAAAGCUCUGUCCUCAAGGAAGAUAAUGACGGUACUUGAGGAGGAAGCCCCGGCUAACUACGUGCCAGCAGCCGCGGUAAUACGUAGGGGGCUAGCGUUAUCCGGAUUUACUGGGCGUAAAGGGUGCGUAGGUGGUUUCUUAAGUCAGGAGUGAAAGGCUACGGCUCAACUGUAGUAAGCUCUUGAAACUGGGAAACUUGAGUGCAGGAGAGGAAAGUGGAAUUCCUAGUGUAGCGGUGAAAUGCGUAGAUAUUAGGAGGAACACCAGUAGCGAAGGCGGCUUUCUGGACUGUAACUGACACUGAGGCACGAAAGCGUGGGGAGCAAACAGGAUUAGAUACCCUGGUAGUCCACGCCGUAAACGAUGAGUACUAGGUGUCGGGGGUUACCCCCCUCGGUGCCGCAGCU
rnacentral:rRNA from 1 species